rnacentral:rRNA from 1 species
UACGGGGGGGGCAAGCGUUGUUCGGAAUUACUGGGCGUAAAGGGCUCGUAGGUGGCCAACUAAGUCAGACGUGAAAUCCCUCGGCUCAACCGGGGAACUGCGUGUGAUACUGGCGGGCUUGAAUUCGGGAGAGGGAUGUGGAAUUCCAGGUGUAGCGGUGAAAUGCGUAGAUAUCUGGAGGAACACCGGUGGCGAAGGCGGGUCUCUGGGCCGUAACUGACGCUGAGGAGCGAAAGCAUGGGGAGCGAACAGG